GACGAACGCUGGCGGCGUGCUUAACACAUGCAAGUCGAACGGUAAGGCCCUUCGGGGUACACGAGUGGCGAACGGGUGAGUAACACGUGGGUGAUCUGCCCUGCACUUCGGGUUAAGCCUGGGAAACUGGGUCUAAUAACGGAUAGGACUCCGGACUGCAUGGUCUGGGGUGGAAAGCUUUUGCGGUGUGGGAUGGGCCCGCGGCCUAUCAGCUUGUUGGUGGGGUGAUGGCCUACCAAGGCGACGACGGGUAGCCGGCCUGAGAGGGUGACCGGCCACACUGGGACUGGGAUACAGCCCAGACUCCUUCGGGAGGCAGCAGUGGGGAAUAUUUCACAAUGGGCGCAAGCCUGAUGCAGCGACGCCGCGUGGGGGAUGACGGCCUUCGGGUUGUAAACCUCUUUCAGCAUCGACGAAGCGAAAGUGACGGUAGGUGCAGAAGAAGGACCGGCCAACUACGUGCCAGCCGCCGCCGUAA
rnacentral:rRNA from 1 species